ACGGCUACAUCACAUUGGAACACCAGUUCCCGUACGAUCACCGAAGUUAAGUAACAUCGAGUCUGCUCAAUACAUAGAUUGGUGACCGCUUGGGAAUACCAACUGCUGUAAG